AGAGUACGUGAAACCGUUCAGGGGUAAACCUGAGAAACCCGAAAGGUCGAAAGGGGAGAUUCAGCGUGUCUCGAUUACGGCGCUGGACGGUCGUGCGACGGAAGACGUACGCGUCAUCCGCACCUUCCGUCUUCCGAACCGUAGUCGAACGCGUGCACUUCUCCCCCUGUAGGACGUCGCGAUCCGUUGGGUGCCGGUCUAAGGCCCGCAAUGGAGCCCGUUCGGACGGUUUACCGUUCCGGACGAACUUGCGGUGUUUCCCGGUCGGCUCGCUCGACGGUAUACAGAUGGCGCGGGGCCGCUACACAUUAGUUAGCGUCCGACCGGCGGCAAGCGCGCUCGUCGUGACGGUGAUCGGACCUAGUGCCGGUCCUGUCCCCGAGUGGCUGUUCGCUGCCGUGUUCUCGGACAGACCUCGUUGAAACGCCGAUCUGCGACGCUAUAGCUUUGGGUACUUUCAGGACCCGUCUUG
rnacentral:rRNA from 1 species